AGGAGUAAUGAAGAGGUGAGUUUUGGAAAUAGUGAUGAUGCAAAGAUGAUGGAUAUUGAGGAAGUAGAAGUUGUGGAUGGCCAGGCAUGUUUUAGGUACUCUCAAUAGCGGGAUUGUCUACUUCUCUUGAUGUUCGUGUAUCGCUCUAUGAUGAGAUUAUGGCCAUUUUUGAUAAAUAGUUUGAUAUAACGAUUAUAGAUAUUUUAUUCGUCGAAUAUCAAUAUGUAAUACAUUUGAACAUCUUA